UGGUGACCCAGGGAGGAGAGGUCUUGU
rnacentral:piRNA from 1 species